rnacentral:rRNA from 1 species
CAAACGACUCUCGGCAACGGAUAUCUCGGCUCUCGCAUCGAUGAAGAACGUAGCGAAAUGCGAUACUUGGUGUGAAUUGCAGAAUCCCGUGAACCAUCGAGUUUUKGAACGCAAGUUGCGCCCGAAGCCAUUAGGYUGAGGGAACGUCUGCCUGGGCGUCACAC